rnacentral:rRNA from 1 species
UACGGAGGAUGCGAGCGUUAUCCGGAUUUAUUGGGUUUAAAGGGUGCGUAGGCGGGAUGCCAAGUCAGCGGUAAAAAUGCGGUGCUCAACGCCGUCGAGCCGUUGAAACUGGCGUUCUUGAGUGGGCGAGAAGUAUGCGGAAUGCGUGGUGUAGCGGUGAAAUGCAUAGAUAUCACGCAGAACUCCGAUUGCGAAGGCAGCAUACCGGCGCCCUACUGACGCUGAGGCAC